CAGUCACUGCCUGUCGUAGGACACAAGUCUGCUGUGCUGGGUCUGUCCUUCCACCUUCACUCAGAACACAUGGCAACUGCUCCCAGACAUCUGGUCUCCUUAUUAGCAGCUCUGUCAGCUGUACCGACAUUUCUGGGAAUCAGAUGGAUGAAUGACACAUUUUUCAAAAACUCACCUGCAACUCAACUUCUGGCUCUCCAUUCUGGAACUUUGACCUCCGACGCCAGUGCUCGUGCUCACCGCUAGAUCGCGCUGUCGGACAAGGAAUCUGAAGCUCUGGAACCUCCGGGAGCCCAGGAGUCGAAGGGAGAAGAGGUGGGCGAGCAGAUGAUAGAGUGAGGAAGGGUGAGCCCAGGGUAUAACCUGAGGAAUAAAAGACACACAAAGCAUCUAAAGUGAAUAAAUUGAACCAUCUCUGCCUCA